rnacentral:lncRNA from 1 species
UGAAAAAGUAGUAGUAAAAGGAGUACAUGUAAACAUAUAUCGCAGUUGAUGCGGCAGAAAGAAAGCUUGUCCAUUGCCACCUGUAAUCCUCUGCGUUUAGCAGGAAAUAUGUACAAACGAUAGUCACACAAACUGUCACAAUGCAGAGGAUAACCAGAACCAACAUCAUAAAGCCAUAAACAUAGUAGAUCUUGUAAGCCCAGAAUGAAGUAAAAAUGAAAUACAUUUCAAUAAAAAUUGAUCCAAAGGGGAGGAUUCCACCUAGGCAAACAAUAACAGCUGGUUCCAUGAACCAUUUUUUUUCUGGUAUGGGACGAGGCACUGCAUUGACACGGCAUGGAAAAUUGGGCUGUCCUGACAGAUUUCGGCCAAGAAUCGUACCAACGAGGUUCAGUGGAAGAAUGACAAAGAAACAAAUACAACAUACUGCCACCAUGGUUCCAAACGGUAUAGCUCUUGAAGCAUGGUAAUAGAUGGCAAUGAAGUUAAUGAAGAAGGCAGUUCCACACACCAUUGCCGGAAUAAGGAAAGCUCCAAUGAACAUCUGUUUUAUCCACCGCCUUCCUCCUUGUCUAGCAUAAAGACUUCCUCCAAAAUAUCCAUUCACUGGGGAUGUUGCAGCAUAAACAAAUAUAGCUGUACUAAGCAUUGAUCCUCUCUCUGUGUAUAAAUCUUCUAUCAUUGCAACAACAAUGACUAUAAGAGACACAGCAAAAAUCUGACACCCAGAGCCAAUAAGUGAUGAGAAUAUGAGAGGAUGACUGGAUGGUCUAAAAACAUCUCCAUGGACCUGCUUCCAUCCAUACUCAUCACCUAGAUCUCUGUCCAUAUCGUCCAUUUCUUCCUCCUUGCUGUAUCUUGCAUAAUCUUUUCGCAAAGUUCUCAUUAAUAUCAUAGACACUAGGCCAACCAGAAAGAUCACCAUCAUGAAAGAAUUGAAAAUUGAAAACCAGUGAAUUCUGUGCUGAAAGAAAGAUGGGUCAAGGUACUUGUCAAAUCGGUCUUCAAAUUUCACAUCUGACUUCUUCCACUUCACAGAAUAUGACAUCUGGAUUUUUGUAUUUGGUACCAGUUUCACCUUUCCUUCGCUGGUAAGAUUGACAUCCACAAUUCUAUUUGUAUUGUAACCAAUUUCAAGUUUUUUGUAAGUCCAAAGGUAAUAGUCUUCCCCAUUUUCAUCUGCUUCUCCAACAAUGCCCCAUAUUGGCAAGUCAUCAAUAUACAUCUGGUACCAAUAGUGAUUUUUGAUAGCAUACACAAAGGCUUCUCUUCUUCCUUUGUCCAAGUCAAUUUCACAGUAAGUAGUCUGCAUUACAUCGUCUUUGAAUUUGAUGUCAAGACCACUAAAUUCCAAUUCAACUCCUUGAAGUGCUUCUCCUAGGGUUUCGUGGUAAUGGCUGAUGCUUUUUUUUGAUCCCACGCAGAAAGGAAGAGAGAAAUAUUUGUAUGUUUCUUGGCGAUUGUGAUAGGGUCCUACUGUAUUCAUCCAUAAAACAACUUCCUCUUUAUCUUGGUACGUGUGCUCGUGCUCGUCGGCGCGGGCGCGCGGCGGCAGGCAGAGGAGAAGCAGCGCGGCGGCCGCGCGGAGCAGCAACAGCCCGGGCGCCGCCAUCUCGGGCCUCCGCGUCCCCGCGCACGCAGCAGGCCCCGCCGCGGAGCCGGCCCGCGCCCCGCCACUAACGCCGACCUGCGACGCCACUUCCGGUCCGCCCGGCCACGUCAUCCGGCCGCACGCCGGAAGCGGGGUGCCUACGGCGGCCGGCAGGGAGCGCGGAGCUUCGCGCAGAGCCGCCUUCCGCGCUUCCUCCUGGCCGGGCGGGGCGGGACGGGACGCAGCAAGCGGUGCAGGGGUGCCGCCCCGGCAACUGCCCGGGUCUGUAACACACGAUGGCCUUAGGGGAAGCUCAGUGGAGCAGAACCGUAUUUUAACCGACAGAACUACGUUGUAAUCGAUGAACUCUUAGGAUACCGAUCCAUCGUUCUGAAUGAACGGAGAACCGUGCGCCACGGGACUCGGCCGCAGAGCAGCGUGCGGAUUCACUCGCGCUUGGUCUGGCCUGCCGCGAUGCCCGUACAAGCACCGCAAACUCACAAUGCCACUUCAGAGUGCAAAAGUCUACAUCCGUACACAGAGCACGGGCUGGCAGGGCAGGCCAAACUGCCCCCGUGUGACAAACAGCUCAGUUUUCCAUGGACAAAAAGCCAGCAAAUGUAUAAGUGCUUCCAAGUGCCUCUACGUACUAGCCCAGAGAAUGAACCUACGAAGGUAAGGAGCUGCCAGCAUUAGGUGUUCGCUGACCAGACAAUUACAAAACCAAAUGUAACCAAGUUUUAGAGGCUACUACUUAGAUUUCAAAAACAAAACCGUGCCAGCAAAGAAAAAAGAGAGUAAGAGAUGUGCUGCACACGAGGGCUCAGUGCUGUUGCUUGCCACCCCUGCUUUGUAGGCACGAUUCCAAACCAAGAGCUCCCUGGUUGCCUCUGCUCUUCAUCACUGUUGUCAGAGCUUCUCCCUCCGUAGUCCUGUACAUUCACUGUACCAUAUUCCCAAUCUCCUGUCUAUUGCAGUAAUGGCAAGGUCCUUUCAGAAAGAAAUAUUUGUCAAAACCCAUUCAAAACCUUUGCCUUAAAGAAGGAAAACUUGGACGACUUCUCUAGCACCGUAUGUUUCUUCUCAGUCAUUGCACCUCAGUCCAAAGCAGAACAGAAUUCCCCUGGGAGACAGAGAGUGUCUCAGUGUCUCUGGUUUAUUCAGCACUCACGUCUCUCAGGCAGAGCCAUCUGCUGCGGAGGACAGUGUGAGGCACAUUACAAAGAGCAAACAUUCUGCCGGGCCAGGCAGCUGCCACCCGACUUUGGGAGAUGGCUCAGUGCCCCUGCCUAUGGAAGAGCCAUUGACUUUUUACCAGCAAUUUUAUUAUCUGCUCAGCCCUUUUGCAUGGAAACAUGCUUUCUUCUCACACUCCUCUCUAAGCAUAUUUGUGUUUAGUCAAUGAUUUAGUCAUAUGCAAAUGCUUCUCCAAUCUCUUCCAAGCUUUAAUUUCAGUGCAUUUUUCAGGUGGUGGCAAUACAGACCAUGGCUCACCCAGCACAACUCCAUACACUGAGCUGCAAGAAGCUUAAAGCAAUUAAAUCAAACCAAUCUGGAACACAUUUUGGCCAGUCAGAAGGCGCAUCUCUGCUGAUCUGAAAGUCUUUGCUUUUGUAUGAUGGUCAGGUCACACUAAGAUUUAAGCUGCAAAUGGGACAGCAACCACAAGACUGCUUAUGGAUCACAUUCCAGCUCUUCAGCUGUUAAUUGUCUCGCUGCAGUACUAACAAUAAAAACCCAGCUUCCAGCCAUACAAUCAGGAUUGUGCAAAGGCAAAUGUUCACAUACAGUUCAGAUAUAUCCUUCUCAGAGAAGACGUAUUUAGCUAUAACAUGCAGGGAAUGUGGACUUAAAAAUUAGGCAGGGGAAGAGAGAGCCCUGGGCUGCUUCAGUCUAACACCUUUGAAAGGGAGUGUUCUGCACAGCGUUUGUAGUUUGCUCUUGGUUUUUUCCCCAUGUGCUAUGUUUCUACAUUGUGUUGUAUACCUAGCAUCCAUCACAUCACAACUCCAAGCCCUGAAGCACAGCUACAGUCACCACUAUGGAAAUGGGGAACAGCUGGACAAAACCAGGGAGCUGUGUGCAAAGCAAAGCACAUAUAUCAGCUAAAAAGAAUCACUUCUGAGUUUCCUUCAGUUAUCCACAGUACCAUUCUCCUUAUUUCAGCCCCAAACUUCAUUCCCUGCUUCCAAUUUGACUAAAUAACACUAGGAAUUUUAUUCUGUUUCAAGAAGGGCACAGGAAGGCAGCUCCCACCUCACAGAGAUACUGUAAACAACAAAUACAUAAAAUGUUCAUGCUUCAUCUACUGGCCUGCAGUACACAUCCUGCAACCCUUUUGUAGCAAGAGUAAAGGCUGUAUGAACAGCACUUGGCAUCAUACCCUAUGGGUUUUAACAUGCAGAUGACAUUUAGCUUAUGCCUAUGCCCACAAGACCUGCAGAAGCUUGCAGCUCCCCCUACUACCUUCACCAUGCUGCAGGAGAACAGGGUACAACCCUAAGACCUGCUCUGCUAUGGAGCAAGGGAAGCUUACAUACCCUGAUGGAAGCUCCAUACAUCCUAUAUCUCACUCAGGGCUGGAAGAGGGGGAUUGUUUUGAAAACCAAGUAGGCCGUGCUGCUUAAUGCUCUACCCCAAAUGCUGUCCUGUAGAAUUCUCAUCUGUGUCACUCAUGGACAACCAGAACCCCCAAGGGCCAGGAUAUGCACAGAAGAGUGUAAGGUCUGGGAAAAAAAAAAAAAAAAAAAAGCUUACUUUAAUCAUCCCAGCCCCUUGAGAUGAAGAAUCAAAAUAAACUUCUGUUUUAUGUGCUUCCUACAUUUGGCACACACAGCCCAACCAUGAAGCUGUCCUUAAGUCUGCAAGCCCUCAGGCAGAAAAAAGGACUGGACACAGCUGUUGCUGAUUCACAUUGCUAGAAAGCCAGAGCAGAGCAAGCACAGGCAGGAUGCCUGCUUCAACUACAGCAGCCAACUGUGCAGCUGGCAGUGGUGAGGUGUGUGCCUCUGGAAUUGCACAGUUGCUGUAUUAUUCCAGAGCAUGAAGUGGAAGGUUUUCAUGCUGCUACGGUGAACAUGCAUAAGGGAUAAGAACAAAGCAGUGCUACCAUUUUCUUCCCCUAAUUUAAGAGGUCAGCUGUGUGAUUUCAAGUGACAACUCCCACAGUGGCUUAAGUACAGCUGUUUUGACACAGCAAAUCCCUUGCCAGCUGCCUUGGGAGCUUUCAUGGCAAAGACAGCACACCCACAUCUCGUUAAUGUCAGUCCUCUUCAGGGAGGGAAGGGGAAAGGCAUUUUCAAAAUUUUAAGCAAAAUGUAUUUGUAAAUAAAGAUAACUUUUCAUCCUCCUGUGGUUUAAUAAUUGCUGGAGAGACAUUCCAUACUUUCUGGAAUUUCAAUAUCUGCACACAACGUUACACUGAACAGAAGUACACGACACCUGAUCCUGCAGUAAUGAGAAUUCUUCAAACAAAGCAUUUAAUUUGUUUUGUUUUUCUUUUUCAAGUCUGUUUUCCAGUGAAGCCCUUGUACACCGUACUGAAAGAUUUGUUGACAAUGCUUAUCAGGAUU